rnacentral:rRNA from 1 species
UGGGGAAUAUUGGACAAUGGGGGCAACCCUGAUCCAGCCAUGCCGCGUGGGUGAAGAAGGCCUGCGGGUUGUAAAGCCCUUUCAGCGAGGAAGAAAGGCGGGGGAUGAAGAGUCCUCGGUUGUGACGUUACUCGCAGAAGAAGCACCGGCUAACUCCGUGCCAGCAGCCGCGGUAAUACGGAGGGUGCAAGCGUUAAUCGGAAUCACUGGGCGUAAAGCGCACGUAGGCGGCCUAAUCAGUCAGCUGUGAAAGCCCCGGGCUUAACCUGGGAAUGGCAGUUGAUACUGUUAGGCUCGAGUCUGUCAGAGGGGGGUGGAAUUCCAGGUGUAGCGGUGAAAUGCGUAGAGAUCUGGAGGAACACCAGUGGCGAAGGCGGCCCCCUGGGGCAAGACUGACGCUGAGGUGCGACAGCGUGGGGAGCAAACA